AGACAGUGAGCAAAGCACAAAAGUGAGAAGUAGUUAGGCUUCAGUUUGUGCAGAAAAUUAACGAACGAAAAAUUGAGAAACUGUCUUUGCAUAGGUAAAUAAAAUACAGAAAGUGCAUUUGUUGUAUUCAUUUUCUUCUUUUGUUGAUAUAGUAAAAGAAUUGGUGUGGGUUUGUGGACGUAAGCACGAUUGUCAAACCACGUAAAUUCUUGUGUCACUUACACUUAUUAUUUUUGCUACAUUUACUUCUUCUCAGUUCAAAUUAUUUUGCGUCCCACUGAUCCUGGUGGAAUUAGUAGCGGUCUAAUUUUCAUAACAUCAGCAGCUUCAGUCUGAUUUGGCGGAGUGUCAGAACCAUGUACCUCUAGUGGUGUUGGAGUGGAACGGUAGCUUUCUAUGGUUGGUAUUCGGGGAAACCAAGGGUAACCACCUUCAUGGCCUCCUCGAUGCUUUUAUUUCCCAAAAACUAGAUUUUCUCCAAUUCUCUGUGAAUGAAUUAAAAAUUGUUAGUAAAACUUUUUGAGUGCG
rnacentral:lncRNA from 1 species